rnacentral:lncRNA from 1 species
CUCUCGAGAUUCAGAGAGCGGUGUCUCUUCGAUUUUUAAGAAAGUAAUCAUGUUGGGAGUCUGGCUCUCGAGAUUCGGAGGGCGGUGCCUCUUCGAUUUUGGAGCAAGCAAUCUUGUUGGAAGUGUUUUCUCGAAUGUGAGUAAAGGUUGGGCGUGUUUGCUAGUCUACCUUGCCACGAAGCACAGAGGUUGACACACAGGGACUUUCCAAUUAUCCAGCAGUGGUACUGUUCCUUUACCUUCUCUUCGAUUUUUGAGAAAGUAAUCAUGUUGGGAGUCUGGCUCUCGA